rnacentral:rRNA from 1 species
CAGCAGCCGCGGUAAUACGAAGGGGGCUAGCGUUGUUCGGAUUUACUGGGCGUAAAGCGCACGUAGGCGGACUUUUAAGUCAGGGGUGAAAUCCCGGGGCUCAACCCCGGAACUGCCUUUGAUACUGGGAGUCUUGAGUUCGAGAGAGGUGAGUGGAAUUGCGAGUGUAGAGGUGAAAUUCGUAGAUAUUCGCAGGAACACCAGUGGCGAAGGCGGCUCACUGGCUCGAUACUGACGCUGAGGUGCGAAAGCGUGGGAAGCAAACAGGAUUAGAGACCCCCGUAGUCCCUGUCUCUUAACA